CAGUUGUACCUUCGGGUAAUCAGCCUUUCGGGUGCGAUUCUGUGGAGCGUGAGGAGUUAAACGCCUUCAUACCUGCAUAUUCGUGCACUUUGGGUGUACUUGCCCGUGUGGUAGGUUAACAUCAAUUUCGGAUGUCAUAAAAUGGCUGGAGGAAUGUAGCUUCGGUCUCGUACUGAAGUGUUAUAGCCUUUGGUAGAUGUGAUGACCGGGAUUGAGGAUUGCAACGAAUACCUUUUGGGCUAUCCGUCUGAUCUCUGAAAGUUGCUCUGGUGCCGAAAGCUUGCUUACGGUUAUCAAAGUUGACGUUCAAAAGGUUAGAACGGGUUAAA
rnacentral:rRNA from 1 species